rnacentral:tRNA from 1 species
GGGCCCGUAGCUCAGCGGUAGAGCGGGCGUCUUAUACACGCCUGGUCCCUGGUUCGAACCCAGGCGGGCCCA